GAUGAACGCUGGCGGCGUGCCUAAUACAUGCAAGUCGAGCGAACAGACGAGGAGCUUGCCCCUCUAACGUAAGCGCGGACGGGGGGCGUACAACUUGGUUACCCUACCUAUAUGAUGGGGCUAACUUGGGGAAACCGUGUUUAAUCCCGGCUAAUUUAUUAACCCGAAUGGUUAAUUAGUAAAAGCGGUUUUGCCGUUCACUACAAGGGGGAUCCACUCCCCCUUGGCUCGUGGGUAAGGUAACGUCUAACAAAGCCAAGGCUACGUAGCCGACCUGACAGGGUGAUCGGCCACACUGGAACUGAGACACGGUCCAGACUCCUACGGGAGGCAGCAGUAGGGACUCCUCCGCAAUGGGCGAAAGCCUGACGGAGCAACGCCGCGUGAGUGAUGAUGGUCUUCGGAUCGUAACACUCUGUUAUCAGGGAAGAACAAUUGUGUAAGUAACGAUGCACGUCUUGACGGCACCUACCCAGAAAGCCACGGCUAACUACGUG
rnacentral:rRNA from 1 species